rnacentral:rRNA from 1 species
UCGGGAAUUUUGGGCAAUGGGCGAAAGCCUGACCCAGCAAUGCCGCGUGAGUGAAGAAGGCCUUCGGGUUGUAAAGCUCUUUUGUCAGGGAAGAAACGGUGAGAGCUAAUAUCUCUUGCUAAUGACGGUACCUGAAGAAUAAGCACCGGCUAACUACGUGCCAGCAGCCGCGGUAAUACGUAGGGUGCAAGCGUUAAUCGGAAUUACUGGGCGUAAAGCGUGCGCAGGCGGUUUUGUAAGUCUGAUGUGAAAUCCCCGGGCUCAACCUGGGAAUUGCAUUGGAGACUGCAAGGCUAGAAUCUGGCAGAGGGGGGUAGAAUUCCACGUGUAGCAGUGAAAUGCGUAGAUAUGUGGAGGAACACCGAUGGCGAAGGCAGCCCCCUGGGUCAAGAUUGACGCUCAUGCACGAAAGCGUGGGGAGCAAACAGGAUUAGAUACCCGAGUAGUCCCUGAGCGGGCUGGCAAGGCGCAU